CCUAAAGAGUAACGGAGGAGCACGAAGGUUGGCUAAUCCUGGUCGGACAUCAGGAGGUUAGUGCAAUGGCAUAAGCCAGCUUGACUGCGAGCGUGACGGCGCGAGCAGGUGCGAAAGCAGGUCAUAGUGAUCCGGUGGUUCUGAAUGGAAGGGCCAUCGCUCAACGGAUAAAAGGUACUCCGGGGAUAACAGGCUGAUACCGCCCAAGAGUUCAUAUCGACGGCGGUGUUUGGCACCUCGAUGUCGGCUCAUCACAUCCUGGGGCUGAAGUAGGUCCCAAGGGUAUGGCUGUUCGCCAUUUAAAGUGGUACGCGAGCUGGGUUUAGAACGUCGUGAGACAGUUCGGUCCCUAUCUGCCGUGGGCGCUGGAGAAUUGAGGGGGGCUGCUCCUAGUACGAGAGGACCGGAGUGGACGCAUCACUGGUGUUCGGGUUGUCAUGCCAAUGGCACUGCCCGGUAGCUAAAUGCGGAAGAGAUAAGUGCUGAAAGCAUCUAAGCACGAAACUUGCCCCGAGAUGAGUUCUCCCUGACUCCUUGAGAGUCCUGAAGGAACGUUGAAGACGACGACGUUGAUAGGCCGGGUGUGUAAGCGCAGCGAUGCGUUGAGCUAACCGGUACUAAUGAACCGUGAGGCUUAACCUUACAACGCCGAAG
rnacentral:rRNA from 1 species